CAACACAGUCAACAAACGAACAGACAUAGAUAACCUAAGUACAACAUAUGCAGGAGUACUUCAUAGCAUAAAGAACAUUAAUAGAAAAAACGAAACAAUCAGAGAAGAUAAUUUAGACGAGAGUUAGAUUAUUCCGAUAGGGCACUUCAUCAAGCAAAUGAAACGAGCCACAUGAGGAGGGUUGAGCAAAAGGGAAAAAUUGCGCCAUUUGCCAAACAAGAAAUACGUAAAUUGAAAGUGGUUCCGAAUAGUCAUGUACCAACGACGAUUUAAACAUAGGACAGUUAAAGUUAGACCAAACACUAGACAAAAAACGACAAAUUAAUCUCCCCUGAGGAAGACACAAUCCCCGUGUCGAAACGUUG